GAUGAACGCUAGCGGCAGGCCUAACACAUGCAAGUCGAGGGGCAGCACGUCUUCGGAUGGUGGCGACCGGCGCACGGGUGCGUAACGCGUAUGCAACCUACCUUGUACAGAGGGAUAGCCCAGAGAAAUUUGGAUUAAUACCUCAUAGUAUCUUUACCUGGCAUCGGGUAAUUAUUAAAGUUCCAACGGUACAAGAUGAGCAUGCGUCCCAUUAGUUAGUUGGUAAGGUAACGGCUUACCAAGACAAUGAUGGGUAGGGGUCCUGAGAGGGAGAUCCCCCCACACUGGUACUGAGACACGGACCAGACUCCUACGGGAGGCAGCAGUGAGGAAUAUUGGUCAAUGGACGCAAGUCUGAACCAGCCAUGCCGCGUGCAGGAAGACGGUCCUAUGGAUUGUAAACUGCUUUUUANACAGGAAGAAACAACUCUACGUGUAGAGUCUUGACGGUACUGUAGGAAUAAGGAUCGGCUAACUCCGUGCCAGCAGCCGCGGUAAAGUG
rnacentral:rRNA from 1 species